GAGGGUAUAGCUCAGUGGUAGAGCACAUGCCUGGCAUGCACAAGGUCCUGGGCUCAAUCCCCAGUACCUCCA
rnacentral:tRNA from 1 species